rnacentral:rRNA from 1 species
GUGUCAGCCGCCGCGGUAAGACGAACCGAGCGAACGUUGUUCGGAAUCACUGGGCUUAAAGGGCGCGUAGGCGGGCUGUCAAGUUUGGGGUGAAAUCCCGCGGCUCAACCGUGGAACUGCCUCAAAUACUGACGGUCUCGAGGGGGGUAGGGGCGAGCGGAACUGUGAGUGGAGCGGUGAAAUGCGUUGAUAUUCACAGGAACUCCGGUGGCGAAGGCGGCUCGCUGGACCUCUUCUGACGCUGAGGCGCGAAAGCCAGGGGAGCAAACGGGAUUAGAUACCCUCGUAGUCC